UGUGUGCCGUGCCCUGGCCCAGCUCUCUGCUGACCCUGCCCCUCCGCUGGCUCUGGCUCUGUGUGAGCGCCUCGGGGACAGCCUGGCCCGGCUCGGGCACUUCCAGCGCGCCGCCGACUUCUACCAGAGACAGCUGGCUCUGGCCGAGGCUCAGGGGGCUCCCGGGCGGGAUCUGGCCGUCAUCCACGUCUCGCUGGCCGCCACAUUCCGGGAUCUGGGCCAGCAUUCCCGGGCCCUGCAGCAUUUCCGGAGGGAGCUGGAGCUGCGCCGCGGGGAGCCCCUGGAGGAAUGCCGGACGUGGCUGAACGUGGCUCUGGCUCUGGAGGAUUUGGGAUCGGCUCCGGAUCAGAUCCUGCCCCCGCUCCGCAGCGCCCUGGGAUGCGCCGAGGCCGCCGGGGAUUC